rnacentral:rRNA from 2 species
CAGGUCGGCGGCAGCGCGGGGCAACCUGGCGGCGAGUGGCGAACGGGUGAGUAAUAUAUCGGAACGUACCCAAGAGUGGGGGAUAACGUAGCGAAAGUUACGCUAAUACCGCAUACGAUCCAAGGAUGAAAGCAGGGGAUCUUCGGACCUUGUGCUCCUGGAGCGGCCGAUAUCUGAUUAGCUAGUUGGUGAGGUAAAGGCUCACCAAGGCCACGAUCAGUAGCUGGUCUGAGAGGACGACCAGCCACACUGGAACUGAGACACGGUCCAGACUCCUACGGGAGGCAGCAGUGGGGAAUUUUGGACAAUGGGCGAAAGCCUGAUCCAGCAAUGCCGCGUGAGUGAAGAAGGCCUUCGGGUUGUAAAGCUCUUUUGUCAGGGAAGAAACGGUUUGGGCUAAUAUCCUGAGCUAAUGACGGUACCUGAAGAAUAAGCACCGGCUAACUACGUGCCAGCAGCCGCGGUAAUACGUAGGGUGCAAGCGUUAAUCGGAAUUACUGGGCGUAAAGCGUGCGCAGGCGGUUUUGUAAGUCUGACGUGAAAUCCCCGGGCUCAACCUGGGAAUUGCGUUGGAGACUGCAAGGCUAGAAUCUGGCAGAGGGGGGUAGAAUUCCACGUGUAGCAGUGAAAUGCGUAGAGAUGUGGAGGAACACCGAUGGCGAAGGCAGCCCCCUGGGUCAAGAUUGACGCUCAUGCACGAAAGCGUGGGGAGCAAACAGGAUUAGAUACCCUGGUAGUCCACGCCCUAAACGAUGUCUACUA